rnacentral:rRNA from 1 species
CAUGUAGGCGGUUAUCUAAGCUUGGUGUGAAAGGCAGGGGCUCAACUCCUGGACUGCAUUGAGAACUGGAUAACUAGAGUUACUGAAGUGAAAUCAGAAUUCCAGGUGUAGGGGUGAAAUCUGUAGAUAUCUGGAAGAAUACCAAUGGCGAAGGCAGGUUUCAGGCAGAUAACUGACGCUGAGGUGCGAAGGUGGCGGGGAGCAAACA